GAAGGUAUAGCUCAAGUGGCAGAGCACAUGCUUAGCAUGCAUGAGGUCCUAGGUUCAAUCCCUAGUACCUCCU
rnacentral:tRNA from 1 species